GGAAGUGGUUUGUCACGUGGUGUCGACCCAAAGAUAUGGCUCUGGCUGUAUAUAAAUAUAGAUGUAUAAAGGAUAUGUUGGAAGCACUGGAAAGAAUAAGACAAAGUGCGGUUGACGUCAACCAUUCUCGCAGUCGGUGUGAUGUCACCAUGACGUCAUCCCGCAUAGCAACGUGUCGCCAUUUUGAGAUGGGGGCACACACAGGAGCAAUUUGACUGGAAUUUCCAUACAUGGACUGAUGUGAUAGCAUUAUCAACCAAGUGGCGGGUGGCACCACUACGACUCUGCAAUAAGACAUCUGUUGUGUUGCCUCAUUUGUAAUGCAAUAACAAUUUUCCUAAAACGUUUGGAUUCACUGUGAAUUUUUUACAAAUAUAAGUUGCGGUAUACAUUACAUUCAAAUAAAGGGUGUUAUAUUUGUUUUAUCACACUAUAACGAGUAAC